rnacentral:rRNA from 1 species
GCUUACCAUGCAGUCGUACGAGAAACCCCGGCUUGCCGGGGGAGUAAAGUGGCGCACGGGUGACUAACGCGUGGGUAAUCUACCCUCGAAUUGGGGAUAACACACCGAAAGGUGUGCUAAUACCGAAUAAGACCACGAUCCCCACGGGGAUUGCGGUCAAAGAUGGCCUCUGCUUGCAAGCUGUCGUUUGAGGAUGAGCCCGCGUACCAUUAGCUUGUUGGUGGGGUAAUGGCCUACCAAGGCAACGAUGGUUAGCUGGUCUGAGAGGAUGGCCAGCCACACUGGAACUGGAACACGGUCCAGACUCCUACGGGAGGCAGCAGUGAGGAAUUUUGCGCAAUGGGGGAAACCCUGACGCAGCAACGCCGCGUGAGUGAAGAAGGCCCUCGGGUUGUAAAGCUCUGUCAAGUGGGAAGAACCUUUUUCGGUCGAAUAAGCCGAGAAACUGACGGUACCGCUGAAGGAAGCACCGGCUAACUCCGUGCCAGCAGCCGCGGUAAUACGGAGGGUGCAAGCGUUAUUCGGAUUUAUUGGGCGUAAAGGGCGUGUAGGUGGUCUGAUAAGUCAGGUGUGAAAGCCCCUGGCUCAACCAGGGAAGUGCAUUUGAAACUAUCAGACUUGAGUACGGGAGGGGGAAGUGGAAUUCCUGGUGUAGAGGUGAAAUUCGUAGAUAUCAGGAGGAAUACCGGUGGCGAAGGCGACUUCCUGGACCGAUACUGACACUGAGACGCGAAAGCGUG